rnacentral:rRNA from 1 species
UCGAGGAUCAUUCGCAAUGGGCGAAAGCCUGACGAUGCGACGCUGCGUGAACGAUGAAGGCCUUCGGGUCGUAAAGUUCUUUCGCGCAAGAACAAGGGAAGCAUGUGAAUAACAUGCUGACUUGAGGGUACUGCGUAAAGAAGCACCGGCUAACUCCGUGCCAGCAGCUGCGGUAAUACGGAGAGUGCAAGCAUUAAUCGGAAUUAUUGGGCGUAAAGGGCGCGUAGGCGGAAAGAUAAGUCAGAUGUGAAAUACCAAAGCUCAACUUUGGUGCUGCAUUUGAAACUAUCAUUCUAGAGGGUUGACGGAGAAAACGGAAUUCCACGUGUAGCGGUGAAAUGCGUAGAUAUGUGGAAGAACACCAGUGGCGAAAGCGGUUUUCUAGUUAAUACCUGACGCUGAGGCGCGAGAGCAAGGGGAGCAAACA